GGGACGGUAGCUCAGACUGGGAGAGCAUUCGGCUGAAGACCGAAGGGUCACGAGUUCAAAUCUCGUCCGUCCCA
rnacentral:tRNA from 1 species